GACGAACGCUGGCGGCGUGCCUAAUACAUGCAAGUCGAACGGAGUGGCGCACGGGUGAGUAAUAUAUAGCUAAUCUGCCCCUUGCUGGAGGACAACAGUUAGAAAUGACUGCUAAUACUCCAUAGCAAGGGAUGAGACUAUAUCGUAUCAGCUAGUCGGUGGGGUAACGGCCGUCCGAGGCUAUGACGCGUAACUGGUCUGAGCGGAUGAUCAGUCACAUGGGACGUGAGGCACGGUCCAAGCUCCUACGGGAGGCAGCAGUAGGGAGUAUUGCGCAAUGGGAGAUGCCCUGACGCAGCAACGCCGCGUGGAGGAUGACACUUUGCGGAGCGUAAACUCCUUUUGUUAGGGAAGCGGUACCUAACGAAUAAGCACCGGCUAACUCCGUGCCAGCAGCCGCGGUAAUUC
rnacentral:rRNA from 1 species